AAGGCAGAUAGAGAGGGAGUGAGAGGCAGGAGCUGAGACACAGAUCCUGGAGGAAGAAGACCAAAGGAAGAGGGCAGAGACAGAAAGGGAGGUGCUAGGACAAAACUCGAAAGGUGGCCCUAUCAGGGAAGCAGAGGAGAGGCCGUUCUAGGGAAGCCCAGCUCCGGCACUUUUGGCCCCAACUCCCGCAGGGCUCAUGAAGGGGGACAAGCGUGAGGAGCAGGGGCUGGGCCCCGAACCUGCGGCGCCCCAGCAGCCCACGGCGGAGGAGGAGGCCCUGAUCGAGUUCCACCGCUCCUACCGAGAGCUCUUCGAGUUCUUCUGCAACAACACCACCAUCCACGGCGCCAUCCGCCUGGUGUGCUCCCAGCACAACCGCAUGAAGACGGCCUUCUGGGCAGUGCUGUGGCUCUGCACCUUUGGCAUGAUGUACUGGCAAUUCGGCCUGCUUUUCGGAGAGUACUUCAGCUACCCCGUCAGCCUCAACAUCAACCUCAACUCGGACAAGCUCGUCUUCCCCGCAGUGACCAUCUGCACCCUCAAUCCCUACAGGU
rnacentral:sRNA from 1 species